AACGAACGCUGGCGGCGUGCUUAACACAUGCAAGUCGAACGAGAAAGGGGUAGCAAUACCCCCGGUAAAGUGGCGAACGGGUGAGUAACACGUGGGUAACCUGCCCUCGAGCUCGGAAUAACCCGCCGAAAGGUGGGCUAAUACCGGAUAAAGCUCUCGGUCCUUCGGGACCGGGGACCAAAGAUGGCCAAUGCUUGCAAGCUAUCACUUGAGGAGGGGCCCGCGGCCCAUUAGCUAGUUGGCGGGGUAAUGGCCCACCAAGGCGACGAUGGGUAGCCGGCCUGAGAGGGCGAUCGGCCACAUUGGAACUGAGACACGGUCCAGACUCCUACGGGAGGCAGCAGUGAGGAAUCUUGCGCAAUGGG
rnacentral:rRNA from 1 species